GUCAACGGCCAUACCACGUUGAAGCACUGGUUCUCGUCCGAUCACCGAAGUUAAACGACGACGUCGGGCGUGGUUGGUACUGAGAUGGGAGACCGCUUGGGAACACUGCGUGCUGUUGACU
rnacentral:rRNA from 1 species